GCUAGGGGGACAGAGAGACUCCUUUACAGUGGAGGUGUUUGAGAACCAGGUGAGAUGCUAGGGGGACAGAGAGACUGCUUUACAGUGGAGGUGUUUGAGAACCAGGUGAGAUGCUAGGGGGACAGAGAGACUCCUUUACAGUGGAGGUGUUUGAGAACCAGGUGAGAUGCUAGGGGGACAGAGAGACUGCUUUACAGUGGAGGUGUUUGAGAACCAGGUGAGAUGCUAGGGGGACAGAGAGACUCCUUUACAGUGGAGGUGUUUGAGAACCAGGUGAGAUGCUAGGGGGACAGAGAGACUGCUUUACAGUGGAGGUGUUUGAGAACCAGGUGAGAUGCUAG